GACUACGGGGAGUUUCAGAAGAAUUUGACCCUUUUUCAUUUCCUGAGGUGAGGCCAUUGCAAAGUAAUACACAGCACAGGUAACCACAGCAGAUGUGCUCAUGACUGGAGUGGUCAGACUCAGUGCUCAGAGCUGGAGGGACUGAGGGGAGCAAGGCAAGCCUCUGCCCUCCAGGGGCGAGAGUCCAGGGAAAGAAAGAAGCCUGGCAACUGACAACUGGAAGCCAUGAUGGUAGGCCUUACACUAAAGGUGUGUACAGAGUGUCACAAGAUGACAUGACAAUUUAUUAUUUACAGGGGUCCUGGAAGACUUGGCCUUAGUUAACACACAAAAGAUGGGUGUGGGUGGGGCAGUCUAAGCAGAAGGAGCGCUGGGAAAAACCAACAGAAAAUGAGCAUACUGUACGCAGGGACUGAUGAGUAUUAGGUCUGGGGAGGUCAGGAGAGGGUGUGUGCACUCUUCUGUCCCCAGUGCCCUCAGCAGUGCUGGGUGCACAGCUGGCCUCGGCACCUGUCUAUAGAGUGUGAUGAGCUAGGAAAGAAAGGGUCAGCCCAGGCCAUGAAGGGCCCUAAAGGACUCCCACAGUAAAUUUUAUGCCUUAGGCAAAAAUGAACUGCUGAAAGGCAUGAACAGAUUUGAAUGAAGGG